rnacentral:rRNA from 1 species
ACGAACGCUGGCGGCGUGCUUAACCCCUGCAAGUCGAACGGAAAGGCCCUGCUUUUGUGGGGUGCUCGAGUGGCGAACGGGUGAGUAACACGUGAGUAACCUGCCCUUGACUUUGGGAUAACUUCAGGAAACUGGGGCUAAUACCGGAUAGGAGCUCCUGCUGCAUGGUGGGGGUUGGAAAGUUUCGGCGGUUGGGGAUGGACUCGCGGCUUAUCAGCUUGUUGGUGGGGAGUGGGUUACCAAGGCUUUGACGGGUAGCCGGCCUGAGAGGGUGACCGGCCACAUUGGGACUGAGAUACGGCCCAGACUCCUACGGGAGGCAGCAGUGGGGAAUAUUGCACAAUGGGCGGAAGCCUGAUGCAGCAACGCCGCGUGCGGGAUGACGGCCUUCGGGUUGUAAACCGCUUUCGCCUGUGACGAAGCGUGAGUGACGGUAAUGGGUAAAGAAGCACCGGCUAACUACGUG